UGACAGUGUUUUUUGCCUUGCAGAAA
rnacentral:piRNA from 1 species